CCUGUUUAACAAAAACAUGUCUUUUUGAGUUAUUUUUAAAGUCUGACCUGCCCAAUGAAGUUUUAAAUGGCCGCAGUAUUUUAACUGUGCAAAGGUAGCAUAAUCAUUAGUCUUUUAAUUGGAGGCUGGUAUGAACGGUUGGACGAGGUAUAUACUGUUUCAUAUGAAUUUAUAUUAGAAAUUUAUUUUUUAGUCAAAAAGCUAAAAUAAUAUUAAAAGACGAGAAGACCCUAUAAAUCUUUAUAUUUAGUAUAAUUCUAAUUUUUUAGAGUUUUUUUGUUUUUGUUAUAUUAAAUAUUUUGUUGGGGUGAUGUUAAAAUUUAAUGAACUUUUAAUUAUUUAAAUCAUUUAUUUAUGAGUUGUUGAUCCAUUAUUAUUGAUUAUAAGAUUAAGUUACUUUAGGGAUAACAGCGUAAUUUUUUUGGAGAGUUCAUAUUGAUAAAAAAGUUUGCGACCUCGAUGUUGGAUUAAGAUAUAUUUUUAGGUGUAGCCGCUUAAAU
rnacentral:rRNA from 1 species